rnacentral:lncRNA from 1 species
AUGGAACUCGAGAAAGGGAAGAGGCAGGAAGGAAAUCUGAAAACCCAAUGGGAGAUGCAAUCUUUGGGCCACAAUUUAUUCUUGGAGCAACUAAGAGAAUUUGAGGAAGCAAAUGAAAAGACAGAACACAGAUUUCUUUUCUGUGUGUUUCAUUACAUACUUCCUAGAGCACUGAUUUAGCAAAGCCCUGCCAGGAGACAUUUAAUGCUGUCAUCGAUAUUCGCUCUACUGUCAGGAAUAUUACACUGAGAAGAAAGACCUGGCACACAGACUUUUCCUUGAAGCUUUGAUAGUACGUUGGCUGCAGCUUAGCAGUGUAAAAAUAGUGUUGCUCUGCAAGCAAAAACAGGGAAUUUUCCUCUUGUCAAUUUAGAAAAGUUUUGAGGGGGAAAAGAAUCAUCUUUAGACCACAAAGGCUUUAAAAAAAGAUUAGUAUUUGUUUGAAAUAUAUAUAUAUAUAUAUAUAUAUAUAAAAGGAAGUUCUUUGAGGGUGACAUUACUAGAACAGGAUGCUCAGAGAAGUAGCAGUGUUUCUGUCCCUGGAGAUCUUCAAAAGUUGACAUUUUCCUGAUUAGCCUUCUCUAACAGGCCUUCAUUUGUGCAAAGAGGUUGUCAGAUGACCUAGGUUCCUUUCCACUGCCAUUUUGGUGAUUCUUCUGUGACAGAAGAUGAUGCUUGAGACAUUCUGCAUGACAAUUUUAACAGAUUACUUACGUUGAUUUUCUGUACUUAUGCAUGAGUGACUUUAAAUAUUGCAGGUAAGCAGAAAGAAGUGUAUCUUGAUUAAAGGCAAGAGGAUAGAAACACUGCCUUUAAGAAUUUGACACAUUUUCUUGACAAUUUUAAAGAUGAGACUCUGUGAUACCAGCUAAGUUGAGAUGAAAAAUAGGCUGGCUGUAUUACCUACCUAACGGCUCAAAAAGAAUUGAAUGUCUUAUGUACUACAGGCUGAAAGUCAUACAGAUCACAUCGAUCAAAUAAGUUUAGUAACACCCUUGAGUCAUUUUUCCAUGACAUACUAGCUAGUCUCAACUACGUCUGGGGAUCCUCACAGAACAGUCCCUACUACCUCCAUCAAAUUCAAAUCUCUAUUAGAUACUGGCACUUUUCUACCCAGCAAUUACUCUCGGGGUAUUAGUCAGAUUUCUCAACACAGUGGUGUUUUUUCCUCAGAAUAUGUAUAGGACAGAGUAGAUGUGGUGUCUAUUGACGAGGAGGAUUCUUCUUUCUGUGCUGUACUGGACAGAUGUAGUUAUCUCAAGUCUCAUAUGCUUUAUUCUAAUUUGCAGACUCACAUAUACUACUUAAUACACUGAUAUCAACUCAUUUUAUGCACUGAAACUAAACUAUCUUUAGCGUUUUGGUUUUAUUUUUUAGUGAUUUAUUUAUUUAAAAAUAAAUUUUAUAGUCACUUCA